rnacentral:rRNA from 1 species
UACGUAGGGUGCAGGCGUUAAUCGGAAUUACUGGGCGUAAAGCGUGCGCAGGCGGUCUUUUAAGUCAGAUGUGAAAUCCCCGGGCUUAACCUGGGAACUGCGUUUGAAACUGGAAGGCUAGAGUGUGGCAGAGGGGGGUGGAAUUCCUGGUGUAGCAGUGAAAUGCGUAGAUAUCAGGAGGAACACCGAUGGCGAAGGCAGGUCUCUGGGCUGACACUGACGCUCAUGCACGAAAGCGUGGGGAGCAAACAGG